rnacentral:rRNA from 1 species
CCUACGGGGGGCUGCAGUGGGGGAUAUUGCACAAUGGGGGGAACCCUGAUGCAGCGACGCCGCGUGGGUGAAGAAGCGCCUCGGCGCGUAAAGCCCUGUCAGCAGGGAAGAAAAUGACGGUACCUGAAGAAACAGCCCCGGCUAACUACGUGCCAGCAGCCGCGGUAAUACGUAGUGGGCAAGCGUUAUCCGGAUUUACGGGGUGAAAAGGGGGCGCAGACGGUGAUGCAAGCCAGGAGUGCAAGCCCGGGGCCCAACCUCGGGACUGCUCUUGGAACUGGGUGGCUGGAGUGCAGGAGGGGCGGGCGGAAUUCCAGGUGUAGCGGUGAAAUGCGUAGAUAUAAGGAGGAACACCGGUGGCGAAGGCGGCCUGCUGGACUGCAACUGACGUUGAGGCCCGAAAGCGUGGGGAGCAAACAGGAUUAGAUACCCUUGUAGUC